UAUUGGGAGAGUCUCCCAGCCAGCCAGGCUGAGAUCCGGGCCGGGGAAGCCACUGGCCUCGGCCCAGUGCCUACGCUUCCAGGCUGUGGAAGAGCCCCGGGGGCUGGCUUUUCCUCCCCUGGGAAGCCGAGCUCCCGGGAACAGCUCUGGGUGGCAGAGAGCUCCGGGAGCCAGCUCCGCGCGCGGUGUAGCUGCUAGCCGCCUUAUGUUGGACGAGGUGUGGUCUUCCCUUCAGGCUGCCUGAGGCAAGCCAGCUUCAAGCAUUCCAGGGGAAGCGUGAGUCCUCCUCGACCCUGUGGGGGCACCUGGAGGCUUUGAUGGGGCAGCCAGGCCAGGCUUGGGGGCAUGCCCAGCAAUGCAGCGCGCUUCUUUGCAGUACAGUAGUUGGGAGCCCUGGUUAGUCCGGCUUCUGCAGAAACCAACUCAAGAAUCCAGAGUCAUCCCAGCCUGGAUGGAAGCCUCCCAGAGUGGCGGGGAAAUUCUCCUGAGGUUGAGAGCUUCCCCAGCUCUCAACUCGGGGUGGAGCGGGGGUCUUCCUCCGGGAAUGACUAAUGAAUAUUGCUGUUGUUGUUGCUGCUGCUGCUGCUGGUGAUGAUGGUGGUGGUGGGCACCUAGUGAGGCUUCUGCAAAUUCCAGGAGAUGCUUCAGUUCUCCUGACAGGACACAUUCUUGAGUCGCACUUGAGGUAUCUUCUGGGAUGGGUGCAGGAUUUUCCAUGUGAAGCCAGGUGGAAAAGAAGGGAAGAGAGCUCCAGGACAGAGAACAGUUCUAUAGUACUCUCUUGAGUCUGGGGAGGACCCAUGUGGGAAGAGAUAAGCGAUUGACGGAGAUUUGGAACCCAGACAACUUAGGGCUGGAGAUGUCCAAGACUGAGUUAGAGCUCUUGAGAGAGUCACACAGCACCUCACUGUCAGUCAUGGGGGAGAGGUGGAGGCUGGAAAAGCGGGAGCACCAUGACUGUUCCAGUAUGGUCCUUGAGAAAAGGUUCUCUCUCUCUCUGACUUGGUUAAGACCUUCUGGCAGUAGGUCCUAAAGUCAAUUUAAGAGGUAAUGAAGGGAGUUGAGGGUCUUGAUGAUGGCACAGAGGACCACAAUUAGAACAUUCUAGUUUCUGGUCCGUACUAAUGGACUCUGGAGAAGAUCAAAACUGUGUAUAGGGAGUCAGGGGUAACCUGCUUUGUGACUGCUCAUUUGGGGUGAAUCCUUCAGCUUAUCCCACCCCUGAAAGUGGGUGAUGUUCAGACUCCUGGGAUAGCUGCUUCGUCGGCCUGGGAAUAUUUUAUGGGGCCUAUGAAUCCGUAUCCAACGUGGUCUGCCUGCAGUCAACAUUUUUCUGCUGCAUUUCCCAAGACCUUCUCUCCACUGGGGAUUUGUGCAGCGAAAUACCUGCUUAUUGCUCUUUCUUCCCUUCUCCAUCUGGACUGCACCUGGUGUUCUGAACUCUGAUGUUUAUUCCUUGGCACCUUGAUGUUUGGUUAAGACGUCCUACGGCUGCACAGGGGUGCCCCUGUGAAUGUGUGGACCAAUGGGCUGCGUGAUUCUAGGGAGUGAAACAAAGACUCUUAUAGAAAGAACGCCACCAACCAGGAAGGCAGUCCUAUUAAACAGCUUGUGACAGCCUCCCAUGCCCAAGCGCUCCCUUGCUUCCCGUGCUGAGGCCCUGGAAGCAUAAAGAUGGAGCAGAUUCCUUCGUGUCCAGUAGGGGGCGCAAAAGGUACCUAGCUCAGGACCACUGACUUUCUCACUUCUUGCCCUUCACAGGCUGUAGCAACUUAAUGCUUUUAAGGCAGCUCAGGCUACGGCCUUCAACCAUCAUCAUCGUAAUUGGAGUCCUUCUACCACAGACUUCCUGGACUUCAGGUGGUCCUGUGACCUCAAGUGCAAUGGGGCAGGUGCAAGAACAACAUUCCAAGGAGACAGACCUAGUACACAGCCCCACCCGCCCUCAGGCAUCGUUUCUCUGUGCUUGGUGCAGCUGAAGAUGCUGAGAUCCAGACAGGAGAGGGAACCAGCCAGGAUCGCGCUGCAGGCAAGUGGUCUGCUCCCUCCUGAGACCAUCUUACUCAGAUUCCUCCAGAGUUGUGAAAAUUAAAUGUGAGCUGUGAAAACAAAAAUAAAUAGAAAAUAUUUAUAGAGA